GCAGCAGGCACGCAAAUUACCCACUCCCGGCACGGGGAGGUAGUGACAAAAAAUAACGAUACGGGACUCUAUUGAGGCCCCGUAAUCGGAAUGAGUACACUUUAAAUCCUUUAACAAGGAUCCAUUGGAGGGCAAGUCUGGUGCCAGCAGCCGCGGUAAUUCCAGCUCCAAUAGCGUAUAUUAAAGUUGUUGCGGUUAAAAAGCUCGUAGUUGGUUCUGCGUGCCGCGCUGUCGGUUCGCCGCCUGUCGGUGUAACUGGCAUGUCGCGGCAUGUCCUGUCGGUGGUGAACGGGAUUCCCGGUGCUGCUUAGGCUUAAUUGCCGAAGCAUGUACCGUGUGUUUUUCCGUUUGCCGAUCUCUCCUACUCCGGUGCUCUUAAACGAGUGUCGAGGUAGGCCGACACGUUCACUUUGAACAAAUUAGAGUGCUUAAAGCAGGCUGAAAUAUCUGCCUGAAUAGUGGUGCAUGGAAUGAUAAAACAGGACCUCGGUUCUAUUUUGUUGGUUUUAGGAAUAUGAGGUAAUGAUCAAUGUGGACUGGCGGGGGCAUUCGUAUUGCGACGUAGAGGUGAAAUUCUUGGAUCGUCGCAAGACGCACUAGAGCGAAAGCAUUUGCCAAGUAUGUCUUAAUUGAUCAAGAACGAAAGUUAGAGGUUCGAAGGCGAUCAGAUACCGCCCUAGUUCUAACCAUAAACGAUGCCAGCCAGCGAUCCGCCGAUGUUCCUUUAAUGACUCGGCGGGGAGCUUCUACUCGGGAAACCAAAGCUUUUGGGUUCCGGGGGAAGUAUGGUUGCAAAGCUGAAACUUAAAGGAAUUGACGGAAGGGCACCACCAGGAGUGGAGCCUGCGGCUUAAUUUGACUCAACACGGGAAACCUCACCAGGCCAGGACAUUGGAAGGAUUGACAGAUUGAUAGCUCUUUCUUGAUUCAGUGGGUAGUGGUGCAUGGCCGUUC
rnacentral:rRNA from 1 species